rnacentral:snRNA from 1 species
UGCCCGCGUCGCGAUAGU